rnacentral:rRNA from 1 species
UGGGGAAUUUUGGACAAUGGGGGAAACCCUGAUCCAGCCAUCCCGCGUGUGCGAUGAAGGCCUUCGGGUUGUAAAGCACUUUUGGCAGGAAAGAAACGUCAUGGGUUAAUACCCCGUGAAACUGACGGUACCUGCAGAAUAAGCACCGGCUAACUACGUGCCAGCAGCCGCGGUAAUACGUAGGGUGCAAGCGUUAAUCGGAAUUACUGGGCGUAAAGCGUGCGCAGGAGGUUCGGAAAGAAAGAUGUGAAAUCCCAGAGCUCAACUUUGGAACUGCAUUUUUAACUACCGGGCUAGAGUGUGUCAAAGGGAGGUGGAAUUCCGCGUGUAGCAGUGAAAUGCGUAGAUAUGCGGAGGAACACCGAUGGCGAAGGCAGCCUCCUGGGAUAACACUGACGCUCAUGCACGAAAGCGUGGGGAGCAAACAGG